UGGGGAAUUUUGGACAAUGGGCGCAAGCCUGAUCCAGCAAUGCCGCGUGCAGGAUGAAGGCCUUCGGGUUGUAAACUGCUUUUGUACGGAGCGAAAAGGCUUCUUCUAAUACAGGAGGCUCAUGACGGUACCGUAAGAAUAAGCACCGGCUAACUACGUGCCAGCAGCCGCGGUAAUACGUAGGGUGCAAGCGUUAAUCGGAAUUACUGGGCGUAAAGCGUGCGCAGGCGGUGAUGUAAGACAGAGGUGAAAUCCCCGGGCUCAACCUGGGAACUGCCUUUGUGACUGCAUCGCUAGAGUACGGUAGAGGGGGGUGGAAUUCCGCGUGUAGCAGUGAAAUGCGUAGAUAUGCGGAGGAACACCGAUGGCGAAGGCAGCCCCCUGGACCUGUACUGACGCU
rnacentral:rRNA from 1 species